GACGAACGCUGGCGGCGUGCCUAAUACAUGCAAGUCGAGCGAAUCAAUGGGAGCUUGCUCCCUGAGAUUAGCGGCGGACGGGUGAGUAACACGUGGGUAACCUGCCUGUAAGACUGGGAUAGCUUCGGGAAACCGGAGCUAAUACCGGAUAAUUUCUUUUCUCGCAUGAGGAGAGAUGGAAAGAUGGUUCUGCUAUCACUUAUAGAUGGACCCGCGGCGCAUUAGCUAGUUGGUGAGGUAACGGCUCACCAAGGCGACGAUGCGUAGCCGACCUGGGAGGGUGAUCGGCCACACUGGGACUGAGACACGGCCCAGACUCCUACGGGAGGCAGCAGUAGGGAAUCUUCCGCAAUGGACGAAAGUCUGACGGAGCAACGCCGCGUGAGCGAAGAAGGCCUUCGGGUCGUAAAGCUCUGUUGUUAGGGAAGAACAAGUACGAGAGUAACUGCUCGUACCUUGACGGUACCUAACCAGAAAGCCACGGCUAACUACGUGCCAGCAGCCGCCGUAAGAC
rnacentral:rRNA from 1 species